rnacentral:rRNA from 1 species
UACGUAGGGUGCGAGCGUUAAUCGGAAUUACUGGGCGUAAAGCGUGCGCAGGCGGUUUUGUAAGCCAGAUGUGAAAUCCCCGGGCUUAACCUGGGAAUGGCAUUUGGGACUGCAAGGCUGGAGUGUGGCAGAGGAGACUGGAAUUCCCGGUGUAGCAGUGAAAUGCGUAGAUAUCAGGAGGAACACCGAUGGCGAAAGGCAGGUCUCUGGGCUGACACUUGACGCUCAUGCACGAAAGCGUGGGGAGCAAACAGG